AUUGAACGCUGGCGGAAUGCUUUACACAUGCAAGUCGAACGGCAGCACGGGGCAACCUGGUGGCGAGUGGCGAACGGGUGAGUAAUACAUCGGAACGUGCCCAAUCGUGGGGGAUAACGUAGCGAAAGUUACGCUAAUACCGCAUACGAUCUACGGAUGAAAGCGGGGGAUCGCAAGACCUCGCGCGAAUGGAGCGGCCGAUGUCAGAUUAGGUAGUUGGUGGGGUAAAGGCUCACCAAGCCGACGAUCUGUAGCUGGUCUGAGAGGACGACCAGCCACACUGGGACUGAGACACGGCCCAGACUCCUACGGGAGGCAGCAGUGGGGAAUUUUGGACAAUGGGGGCAACCCUGAUCCAGCCAUUCCGCGUGAGUGAAGAAGG
rnacentral:rRNA from 1 species